rnacentral:rRNA from 1 species
GACGAACGCUAGCGGCGUGCUUAACACAUGCAAGUCGAACGGAAAGGCCCUGCUUUUGUGGGGUGCUCGAGUGGCGAAUGGGUGAGUAACACGUGAGUAACCUGCCCUUGACUUUGGGAUAACUUCAGGAAACUGGGGCUAAUACCGGAUAGGAGCUCCUGCUGCAUGGUGGGGGUUGGAAAGUUUCGGCGGUUGGGGAUGGACUCGCGGCUUAUCAGCUUGUUGGUGGGGUAGUGGCUUACCAAGGCUUUGACGGGUAGCCGGCCUGAGAGGGUGACCGGCCACAUUGGGACUGAGAUACGGCCCAGACUCCUACGGGAGGCAGCAGUGGGGAAUAUUGCACAAUGGGCGGAAGCCUGAUGCAGCAACGCCGCGUGCGGGAUGACGGCCUUCGGGUUGUAAACCGCUUUCGCCUGUGACGAAGCGUGAGUGACGGUAAUGGGUAAAGAAGCACCGGCUAACUACGUG